GAAAUUUUACCUCGUUUGGCGGUCGAAAAAUCCUCUAGUGUGGCAGUGGGUGGCGGUGGCCGGUUCCUCCGGUGGCUGGGUCGUCUUCUCCGGCUAGGGUUCUGGCGGCUAGGGUUUGGGGUUGGAUGUGGAUGCGAUUAUUUAUAAUCUUCCCCUUUUAAUCUGAGCCAUCCAUCAUGAUUUAAUCUGGGCCAUCCGAUCGUGAUUAAAUUAGAAAUAAAUUUGGGCCGUCCAUCGCAAUGCGAUCUGGGCUAUUUGUGCAUGAUCAAAUAUGGACUGUCCGCACGCGUGAGAUCUGGGCCGUCCAU
rnacentral:lncRNA from 1 species